rnacentral:rRNA from 1 species
UACGUAGGGUGCGAGCGUUGUCCGGAAUUACUGGGCGUAAAGAGCUCGUAGGUGGUUUGUCGCGUUGUUCGUGAAAACUCACAGCUCAACUGUGGGCGUGCGGGCGAUACGGGCAGACUGGAGUACUGCAGGGGAGACUGGAAUUCCUGGUGUAGCGGUGGAAUGCGUAGAUAUCAAGUGGAACACCAGUGGCGAAGGCGAGUCCCUGGACGAUUUCUGACACUGAGGCACGAAAGCUAGGGGAGCAAACAGG